UACGGAGGGGGCUAGCGUUGUUCGGAAUUACUGGGCGUAAAGCGCACGUAGGCGGCUUUGUAAGUUAGAGGUGAAAGCCUGGAGCUCAACUUCAGAAUAGCCUUUAAGACUGCAUCGCUUGAAUCCAGGAGAGGUGAGUGGAAUUCCGAGUGUAGAGGUGAAAUUCGUAGAUAUUCGGAAGAACACCAGUGGCGAAGGCGACUUACUGGACACAUAUUGACGCUGAGGUGCGAAAGCGUGGGGAGCAAACAGG
rnacentral:rRNA from 1 species